GACGAACGCUGGCGGCGUGCUUAACACAUGCAAGUCGAACGGUGAAGCGCCUUCCUUUUUGGUGGGUGUGGAUGAGUGGCGAACGGGUGAGUAACACGUGAGUAACCUGCCCCCUUCUUCUGGAUAACCGCAUGAAAGUGUGGCUAAUACGGGAUAUUCUGGGUCUGUCGCAUGAUGGGUCUGGGAAAGAUAUUGUUUCGGUGGGGGAUGGGAUCGCGGCCUAUCAGCUUGUUGGUGGGGUGAUGGCCUACCAAGGCGGUGACGGGUAGCCGGCCUGAGAGGGUGGACGGUCACACUGGGACUGAGACACGGCCCAGACUCCUACGGGAGGCAGCAGUGGGGAAUAUUGCACAAUGGGCGCAAGCCUGAUGCAGCGACGCCGCGUGAGGGAUGGAGGCCUUCGGGUUGUGAACCUCUUUCGCCAGUGAAGCAGGCCUGCCUCGUUUGUGGGUGGGUUGACGGUAGCUGGAUAAGAAGCGCCGGCUAACUACGUG
rnacentral:rRNA from 1 species